UCCGUCCUCCACGCAAACUCCCCUGCCUCGAUGCUCCUCUCAAUUUCAUCAAGUCCCUGCAGUAUGCUGUCUCUCUCACUCUCACUCAUCAGACCCUGGGCGGCGAGCAUUGAGGCGUGAGCGCGACUGCCGGCGAUGUCCUGCUUGUAGAGGGCCUUGUCGAAGGAGACGGACUCGCUGAAGUUCUCGACAGCGUCGGUGACGCCGUCCUCGAAGCGGCCGCCCCAGAGCUUGUUCUCCUUGGACGGUUUCAUCGGAGGGGAGAUGG
rnacentral:misc_RNA from 1 species